CAAGCUUCCAUUUUUAUUAGCUUGUGCAUUGCUAAUAAAAUAAUUAGAAAUUAACUCUUUCAGGGAAACUAAAUGAAUUCAAAAGGUUUGUGCCGUCCUAUUUGCAGUGCAAUUUAAGGCAACUACUUCUGUUUGCAAAAAUAAGGGCUUUUGUAAUAUUUUUGAUACAUAUUCAUUCAUCUCCUUGCUUGUUAUUUUAUUAUUACAUAACAAGCCACAUUCUGAACUAUAUUUAUGCACUCAAAUCUGGUGUAUUUCUUCUAGAGCUAUCAGGCUGCCUUUGCUUCAAGAACAGGACCAAAUAGUUUGUAGAACUGUAAGCAGAUGGAAAUAUACUUGGUCCAGUGGAAAUGUCAAACUCAAGACCUUGGAGAAGAUAUGAGAGAAAGAUUUCUUGAGAUACCAUCUUUGUCUAAGCACAAAUUAAGGACUCAGUCAUUUCCCUGAAUUGAGAGGAACUCCAGUUUCUACCAGGAAAAGGAGUAAACCAGUGUUUGCUGAUCCACCAGGUCAUAAGACUGAGGACUCAGUCCUGGAAACAGAAACAAAAUCCCAUUUGACUUCCCCAUAUUUAUUUUUUGAUCAAAAUAUGGAACAUGUUAAACCCCACAAAAACCAUCUCAGAGCAUAUGAUAUUAUAUAAGCAUGAUAGGCACACUGGAACAUAUGGACACAUAUGAGUUUAUCAGCUUACCCCUGAAAGGCAUAAGUGAAGUAUUGAUUUGAGCACUAUUUGAGCUACCCUGAUGUUUAGAAAUAAUUCUGUGUGAUUCCUAAAUAACAACAAAAAAUCCUUUCCAUUUUCUGUUUGCAUUGAGGCUCAAUAUAGACUUAACUAUUCAACAAAAUCUAUCCAUGUCUCCCAGAUCUUACCUUUAUUUUCUGAAGGGUGUCUGACUUUUCUAUGAGCUACCUUAGAAUAAAACUGUGCAGUAACUCA
rnacentral:lncRNA from 1 species